CAGCAGCCGCGGUAAUACGAAGGGGGCUAGCGUUGCUCGGAAUUACUGGGCGUAAAGGGCGCGUAGGCGGACAGUUUAGUCAGAGGUGAAAGCCCAGGGCUCAACCUUGGAAUUGCCUUUGAUACUGGCUGUCUUGAGUACGGGAGAGGUGUGUGGAACUCCGAGUGUAGAGGUGAAAUUCGUAGAUAUUCGGAAGAACACCGGUGGCGAAGGCGACACACUGGCCCGUUACUGACGCUGAGGCGCGAAAGCGUGGGGAGCAAACGGGAUUAGAUACCCGCGUAGUCCCUGUCUCUUAUAC
rnacentral:rRNA from 1 species